GUCUCUGUAGCGCAAUAGUUAGAGCGUUGGACUUCUAAUCCAAAGGGCGUGGGUUCGAAUCUCACCUGUGACG